AGCCUUCUUCUGCUAGUCAAUGAAACCAUGAACACGAGGCUUCUCUGCUGUGUAGCCCUUUGUCUCCUGGGAGCAGGCUCUUCGGAUGGACAAGUUAUCCAGACUCCGCAACAUCUGUUCAAAGGGAAAGGACAGAAAGCAAAGAUGAACUGUACACCUGAAAAUGGACAUACUUUUGUCUACUGGUACCAACAGAAGCAGAGCAAAGAGUUACAGUUUUUGAUUUCUUUCCAACGCCAAGAAGUUCGUGAAAAUACAGACUUGGUCAAGGAGCGAUUCUUAGCUGAUUGUCCCUUAAACUCACCCUGCAGCCUAGAAAUCCAGUCCUCUGAAGCAGGAGACUCAGCUCUGUACCUCUGUGCCAGCAGUCUGACCACAGCCCUGAAUUGUGCAUUCUCCUCAUUGCACAAACCCUCCAUGGAGGCAACUCAGGAAGCAGGUGCUGGUCUGGGUUGGAAGGAAGUAACAAAGGAACUAGAGCCAGUGUCAACCACAGGAGGCUAG